GCAAAGGUGACUGGAGGAUGGUGUCCAGCAUGUGCGAUGUCCAAGGCACUUCAUCCAGGCUGGCUUCACCGCCAUGCUCCAAGGAAGGAAGCCACCAGCGUAGCUUGACCGUGUCUCGCAGGUGCUGGCGACAGGCCACCUCCGGCUGCUCAGGGCCCUCUGCACUCGGCCAGCUGCAAGAGCACAAAUGCUGCUGCUGCUGCUUGACUGCUCCCUAACACUCACCUGUCGGCU
rnacentral:lncRNA from 1 species